ACAGCGAACAGCCCCUGCGCGCGGCACCGAGCGGCCCGGCGGACCAGGGCGCAGCGCGCGGGGCUGGGAGGGGAGCGCGCAAGCGGGGCAGGGGCCAAGGGCUAUCCAGGAUGCGGAAGCUGCUCAAGUCACGGCCUACAGCAGUUCCCUUUGUAGGAAAAAGGAGGAGCCUGUUAAUUAGGUUGGGGGGCCUUUUUCAACACUUGACCUCUGGGUUCAAUGAGGAUGUUGCACCCCCCUUUAUUAUUGUGGAGGAACCCUCUUCUUUCUGCUUCCCAAUGGUAACAGCUGUGUGGAGUGACCAAGAGGAAUAGUCUUCAGUCAGCUUGGCUGCCUCUUCUCUUUCUGGCUCAGACAGACAGACUUGGACAAACACCGGCAGUCCAUUUUUUCCUUCUACAUCAGCAGGUAGGGACAAAGAUGCUCCUUGAUCAAAACAUCAAGAUGAAGUACCAAAUACACUCACUUCAUACACAAUUUGCAGAAGCUGCACAAUGAUGCUGGCAUGACCUCACAACAGCAGCAGCACAUGGCUUUGUGACUGACAGACAUGGCAACUUCCUGCCAUAUCCUUAGAAGGCCUUAUUGAAUUAAGUUUAAGUAUCUUUGGGGUCCAUUGUACUAAAUGAAGAGUUUAUGUAUGAUUGUGUCCUACCGCUUGAGGGAGGGCUGCCAUACCUCCUCCAGGAACCAAAAACAAUGGGCAGUGAUUAAGGCAGGUCACUCAGAUUGUAGUAGCGCCAGAGGUGUAUCACCUCCCAGAAAGAUUCACAUACUCUAGAUCAAACUGGAUGUUCCAAACUCUAAGAGACCAAAAAAAAAAAAAGGACUUUUGGAUAAAUAGCCUUAGUUUAAACUGACUCAGUGAUCUGCAUUUCUGCUCAGUCUAUUGCUCACUGGUGGUUAAAGACAUCUUUACAGAAAACCGUUCUUAUGUAUUAUUCUCUUUUCCAUUUUUGUAGUUUAGAGCACUUCUGCUUCACUCUAAUGGUUUUAUACUUACAAGAUGGAGAUGUUUCUUAUGCUCGUCUUAUUUUUAAGUAAGUUACACAUGCAAAAUGUGUAUGCAAUUGCUCACCUAACUACCAUGUCACAGGCACACCCGGAACUGCAUGCACCUAUGACCACGAUUAGCUAAUUGUGUGCAAAACUGCAGGGAGUGAACAUUCAGGUUAGUCAUAUGAUUACAGAUAUGUUUUGUAUACACAACUGCAGAUGUAUAUUGUUUCUAUAGAACAAAGUUUAGUCCCUCAGCCUCAUACUCAAAAACCCAAACCAUAUAUGAAUAGCAUUAAUCUCCAUUCCUGAGAUUUUGGUUUAAAUUGACAAUGCCAAAAUCCAUUUUACACAGACACAGCAGGGGUCUGUGCAGUCAGGGGAAGGAGUAGGGUGAAAAGAGAAGGGUCUUCCUAGCUUAUGUAACCAAUAAGAACUAUUGCAGAUUCCACAGCUGCAAAGACAAGUUUGAUCUGGUUAGAGCCUACUGUAUGUUAUGUUGAAUUGACAGGUUUAAUCUAUGUUCUUGUACAUACACUGAAGACCUGGCCAUAAAUACAUAGUUUCAUUAGGUAACAUUUGACAAAUAAAGGGGGGGCGGGGAGGGAUUUAAGACACGAUUAAAAAAAAAAAACAAUGUUUUUUUAAAAAACUGCAGUUUAACAGAAGUUCUGGUUUACCCAAUCAAAACAAUACCAGCUUGUGUAACACUUCUGUGAGCCUGCAACUAGAAAAGCAAGCUAAAAGCAAUGCAUUAAACAGCCUGAGACUGGUAAAUGUUUGCCAGGUCCUGGAGUGGCUGAUGAAACUCUGAUGGUCUAUAUUUUCUCAGGCGCUAGGUGGCAAAUGAAAGGAAGCAUUAAAGACAGAUGCUGCAUUUCCUGUCUUUGUUAUUACUCUCUCUCCUUUUGUGUAAGUUUGUCUUGUGUUGCUUGGUGUGUGCACCUGCAACAAACAUUCAACUUUUAGAUGGAAAAUGGUAGGUGUAGCAUUGUUUUUAAAAAUUAUAUGUUUGAAGUAUUACUUGUACUCACUUUUUCCUUGGGGUAUUUCCUACAACCUUCUUCCUACACACUAUGCUGUACAUACUGAGAUGUAACAAUAUUUCUGAGGAGUUCGAUAGCUAGGGAAAUUGUUGAAACCAAGCCAGCACAUUUAUAAAAACAUUUUAUUAAUAAAAUGUUUACACCUUUUUUGCACAAUA